UUCCCCGCCGCUCUCUCUCUCUCUCUCUCUCUCAAUUUCCACAGUGGGGGGAAGAAGGCGACGAAGUCCCCACGAACGUUUUCUUUUCUCCUCUAAUUCAUUUUCUCUCUCCUAUGUCCUUUGUUAUAAAUGAGAAGUGGGGAUCGAAGUUGUUGAAGGGCGGACGGAAUCAACAGAGUCUUAUCGAUCUGUUUGUUUAGUCCCUUUUCCUCCUUCUUCUUCUUCUUCUUCUCAUCGUUUAUGUUCGUUGUCUGUUCAUGAAUUGUUUGUUCCCGGAUUGGCGGGAGGGAACGGGAGGUUUCGCUUCCGAUUGCCGCGAAUUGCAGCAGCGGACUUGGUUUCUGACGCAGGACCGGCGGUUUCCUUCGUUGUCACGCAAAGGGAUUGGUCAUGGGGCUUGAUCAUUUGCGGAGUGAGUUCUGUGGCGGUUUGUCGACUUAGAACGAUUUUUAUGUUUUUUUUAGUGAAAAACCAUGACCGAUAUCGAACCGCUUCAGCCGAAGCAGGGAUCGAGCGGAUUGAGCGCCCAUGAGGCGUUGAGACGAGGUUUUGAGGAGCUGCUGAGGGAUCAUUUUGAUUCUUGCAUGUCUCUUGCCUCAUGUAGCAAUUCGCCUCGAGACCCUGGAGGGAGGCGCUGCCGGAGAUGUGUCGGUGUAUAUUGUGAGUCUGUCGAAGCCCGGUGCCUUCAUGAAGAUAGGCCGGAGGAAGAAGACGAGGAAGGGGACCAGUUGGUGCGCCGAAGACGGCGGUCUGAUCUUGAGGGCGAUGAUAUUGCGGAGUCUUCAGCCGCAAGAAGGCGCUAUUCACGCAUCCUCAGUAGGUGGGCGGCUCGGCAAGCUCAGGAUAUGAUUACCACGAUAGAGCGGCAUAACCGGGAAUCGGAAUUAAUGGCACUUUCCCGUUUACAUGCCGUCUCAAUGCUGGAUUCAUCUUUCCUGAGGGAAUCCCCCUCUUCCAGGGAGCAAGGUGCGGUGGAGAGACCGAGGACUCAAGCGUCCUUGGUCCGCCAGAGGUGGAGGGAGCUAGAGGAUGAAAAUAUGAUCAACCAUAAUGGCCAAAGGCCAAGGUCUAGGCAUUCCGAUACAGAUUCCCCUCGAUAUCAAAGACCUGAAAGUGGUGCUCCAUCUGAUCGCGAGAACCAAGGCAGUCAUGCUGCAAUGGUAAGUUCAGAUGUCUCAAUGAACCAAGAAAGUGAGCAGAGACGAGCAGAAGAAAUUACAAAUUAUGAUCCUGAGGAACGGCAAUGGCGACAGGGUGAGCAGCGCGAUGCCGAGCAUAAUGCUGCUGAGGUUCCAAACGCUGAAAGUGAGCAUGGGUACGGGACAUGGUCGCAUGACCAUUCAGAUUCGCAGAAUGAUGACCGUGAUCGAACCUCUAGCAGAGAACAGUCUCCUGAUCUUGGUGAAGGUGAAAGAGAGAGAGUGAGGCAAAUAUUUCGGGGUUGGAUGAUGGAGAAUGCCUCUAGUAAUGGAACUUCAGCCAUGCCAAGGAGAGACAGUCCCAGGGCUGAAUUGCUUGGUGAAACUGAGCGUGAGAGAGUGAGACUGGUAAGAGAAUGGGUACAUAUGGCAAGCCGGCAGAGAGAUUUACGUGCUAAUAGAACAGAGCAGACUUUGGCAUCUGCAGUACAAGAAGGGCCUGUUACUGACUCUGAGGAAGGUCAACCUGAGCAUAUUAGGAGAGACUUACUCAGGUUACGGGGAAGGCAGGCAUUUCUUGAUCUUCUGGUGCGAAUAGAUGCAGAAAGAAGGAGAGAACUUCAGAGGUUACUGGAGCAUCGGGCAGUAUCAGAUUUUGCUCAUCGCAAUCGUAUCCAGUCACUUCUCAGGGGCAGGUUUCUGAGAAAUGGCAGAUCCGACCCUGAAGAGAGACCACCAUCAGUAGCUGCAAGAGAACUGUCUCAAUUAAGGCAACGGCAUACUGUUUCUGGCCUAAGGGAUAGUUUUCGAUCCAGACUGGAAAGUAUUUAUCGGGGUCAAGCAAGCAACCAUUCUGAGACUGCUACAAGUAAUAGUACAGAUAUUUCUAGAACAGACAAUUCAAGGGUAGUUUUGGUGGAUCCAAGUGAAGCUCAGACCGAGUCUCAGGCAAGAGACGUUGAACCUGAUGCACAUCCAAUAACAGAAUAUAUCAAUAACACAGAAAAUGUUACACCGAUAUCAAAUUCUCAGGAGGAGAAUUUACAAGAAGCAACUACAGAUGACACAAGAAGAGAUUGGCCUGAAUCUGAUGAAUCCCUGAUUAUUGAUGGGCAAGAUGGUGUGCAAGAUGGACAUACAGAAGAACCACAGGAUGAUUGGCAAGAUCAGGUUCCAGAUCAAACACAUAGCGAUGAUACACUGGAAGGUGAGAUUGAUGGCCCUUUGGGAGACGAUGACAGAUGGCACGAAGCAAGACCUCAGGAUGCCAUAGACAGUUGGCAGGAAGAGCUUCCCAAUACUUCAACAACUCAGAGUAGUUUCUCCUUUGAAAGAGUCAACCAGUUUCAGCCUCCUGAUGAUGAUAAUGUGUACAGCAUAGAACUCAGAGAGCUCCUCAGCAGGCGAAGUGUUUCAAAUCUUCUCAGAAGUGGAUUUCGUGAAAGUUUGGAUCAGUUGAUCCAGUCAUACAUUCAGAGGCAGAGUCGAGCUCCUCUUGACUGGGAUGGGCAGACUGUGAACCACCUUGAGACGACUGAGGAGCAAACUCAUGAUCAGCCAGAGGAAGCUGAUCAGAAUGAGGAUCAGCCUAAUCCUAUUUCUAGCCCUAUAACGUCUCUGCCAACUCCACUACCACCACCGCUACCACCACAACCACUUUGGCAUCAGGACCUGCAAACAACUAGCUGGCCCAGGCAAAGCUUGCAGAGAUCUGAAAUGGAAUGGGAGAUAAUUAAUGAUUUAAGAGCUGACAUGGCCAGGCUUCAGCAAGGAAUGAAUCACAUGCAGCGAAUGUUAGAUGCCUGUAUGGAUAUGCAGAUAGAGCUGCAACGUGCUGUUAGGCAGGAAGUCUCUGCUGCUUUAAAUUGUUUUAGUGGACAGAAAGGGUUAGUUGAAGAGUCGUCUGAAGAGGGCUUGAAGUGGGGGAAUGUUAGAAAAGGGACAUGUUGUGUCUGCUGUGAUACGCAUAUUGACUCUCUGUUGUACAGAUGUGGGCACAUGUGUACAUGUUAUAAAUGUGCAAGUGAGUUGGUCCGAGGUGGAGGCAAGUGCCCACUCUGUCGCGCACCAAUUGUUGAGGUGAUAAGAGCUUACUCUAUAUUGUAAAAAGCAAAGAUUUUGUCACUGUGAUCACGUGGUUCUCUCUCUCCCUAUCCCUCUCUUUCUCUCACUCAUUGUUUUUGAGACCACAGUGUCUGAGCAGGCUAAUUUCGACAGCCCUUAUGUUCAUGAUUCAAGCUAAUAAAGAGCGUUAAUUGCAAGGCUUUUUAUGCCCCUUGGAGGAUUUUGCUAGUGAUAUCUUGGCUCAUAUGUACUGUCUGUAUUAAGACGCAGGCCUGCCACUAACAUGGGCUGCAGAUUGGAUGGCCGCCCAACUGGUCAAUUUUAAAAAGAAACCAUAAGGCCAUUUUUCUUAUCCAGGUCAUUUCGAGAGGUGCAUCUAUAUAGUUCUUCCCUGAAGGCAUGGAUGAUAAGAGGGACGGCAAAUCAACCCUGUCACUGGAAGCCAAGGCCCAUCAGUUCCCUUUCCUGAUAAUCAAUGGUUGCAGCAUCUCCCCACACAUUUUACCAAUCUUUGUGUGAGGGCAACUGUUUCGGGUUACACAUACACUUCUGCGCGCUCGUUGGUGUCUUCCUAUUUCAAUGGGCGGCGAGGAUCAAUCUGAAAAGAAAUCCAAUUUGUUACAGAGAGGUCCAUAUGACUGCAUUUGCAGUUUAUGUUUGGAUAAGUUGUAAGUGGCUGAGGAAGAAGCGCUCUGCACAUUUGGCAUUCUACAGGACACGAUCAAGUUGGUAAACUCUGGCAUUCGUAGUCUCUGGUUACAUAACUAACCUGCUCCUGCUCCUGCUCCUGCUCCUGCUCCUUAGGGGCAGCCCACCUAUCUUCUAAAUGCUUUUACUUGAUUUCCGGGUUUGUUUAGCAUCAGAUGCAACUAUUAGGGAUCUGAUCGUUUGGCAGCAAAGAUUCUUUGUGAGUGUUUUAUGAACCUGCCUCAAAGAUUGAGGUAGGUUUAUGGAGCAUAGGGUUUGCUUAUACCUUUUUCUAUCUAGAAUUGACAAUCACCCCCCUACCUUAAUGCUACUAUCAAGAUCCACU